CCUGUGACAAAAUAUUCUUCUGUAGGAUCCACAGCAAUUGCUUUAAUUGGAGAAUCAUGACUCUGGAAAAAUUGUCGUUGUUGCUUUUGCCGAAGAUCUAUUAAACAGUUUCCUGUGCACUCCGAUAAGCUGGUUUCAAGGACUGGAGGGCCCUCCUAAGUAGUGUGAAAUAUGGGGUCGAGGACUGCAGAGGGUUAGUGGAACUGGUGAAAUUCAGGUGUCCCACCUUGUGCGAGCGGAAGCACUUUCCCCUACUGCAAGCUGCCACUGGCACAACCCAACAUAAAAAGUACUUUCUUCAUUUGCACUCAGUUUACCACUGUGAUCUUGGAAGAAGUUUCAGUACCUGUUGUCAGUGGACUGCCCAGCUGUGGCUAUCAAAGAUGAAGAGCUGAUGAAAACGAAGUCACUGGCUGUUUUGUUAUGGCACUGCCAUGUCUGGAAAUUGUAACAGGCAUUAUACCCACUUUGGCUCUUUGCCCCUCAGAAGAGGGAGGAGAAGCAUUCUGAUUUGCAUUUGGAUUUUCUGCACUGAAGAAAAAUGUUAAAUGUCUGGAUUCAACACAGUAACAGAAGUGCUGAGAGUUUCUUAAGUAAUUACUAAUGUUUUAAUCUUUAAUAGCAUUAGACAUGUAUAUAUUCUGAAUAUGAUUUAUAAUACCUAAUAAAACUUAAAUAUUCAAUA